rnacentral:rRNA from 1 species
GACGAACGCUGGCGGCGCGCCUAACGCAUGCAAGUCGAACGGAGCUGAGAGAAGCUUGCUUUUCUUAGCUUAGUGGCGAACGGGUGAGUAACGCGUGAGUAACCUGCCCUGGAGUGGGGGACAACAGUUGGAAACGACUGCUAAUACCGCAUAAGCCCACGAUCCGGCAUCGGAUUGAGGGAAAAGGAUUUAUUCGCUUCAGGAUGGACUCGCGUCCAAUUAGCUAGUUGGUGAGGUAACGGCCCACCAAGGCGACGAUUGGUAGCCGGACUGAGAGGUUGAACGGCCACAUUGGGACUGAGACACGGCCCAGACUCCUACGGGAAGCAGCAGUGGGGGAUAUUGCACAAUGGGGGAAACCCUGAUGCAGCGACGCCGCGUGGAGGAAGAAGGUUUUCGGAUUGUAAACUCCUGUCGUUAGGGACGAUGAUGACGGUACCUAACAAGAAAGCACCGGCUAACUACGUG